rnacentral:rRNA from 1 species
CCUACGGGAGGCAGCAGUGGGGAAUAUUGGACAAUGGGCGAAAGCCUGAUCCAGCAAUGCCGCGUGAGUGAUGAAGGCCUUAGGGUUGUAAAGCUCUUUUACCAGGGAUGAUAAUGACAGUACCUGGAGAAUAAGCUCCGGCUAACUCCGUGCCAGCAGCCGCGGUAAUACGGAGGGAGCUAGCGUUGUUCGGAAUUACUGGGCGUAAAGCGUGCGUAGGCGGUGAUUCAAGUCAGAGGUGAAAGCCUGGAGCUCAACUCCAGAACGGCCUUUGAAACUAGAUCGCUAGAAUUAUGGAGAGGUAAGUGGAAUUCCGAGUGUAGAGGUGAAAUUCGUAGAUAUUCGGAAGAACACCAGUGGCGAAGGCGACUUACUGGACAUAUAUUGACGCUGAGGUACGAAAGCGUGGGGAGCAAACAGGAUUAGAUACCCUGGUAGUCCACGCCGUAAACGAUGAUAACUAGCUGUUCGGGCUCUCAGAGCUUGAGUGGCGCAGCUACGACAUUAAGUUAUCCGCCGUCGGGUAGGUACGGUCGCGAAGAAGUUAAACUACGAAGAAGUUAGACGGCGUGAGACGUGCCGACGGACGACGACGAGGGAGGUUAGG